UUAAAAACUUUAAAGAGAACUUCACUUUGUUAAAUAGUUAGAGAGUUGCUGGUUGGUGCAAAGCAAUCUAGGACACAAAGCGAUAAUCAUCUCUGAGUUGUAUUAUCGAAUCUGCUUGCAGGACUAGAUAAUAUUGGGUACACCCAUUAUUGUGGCACUGGUCAGAUAUUUAUCAACCAGCAAGGUAUCUUCAUUGCAAUAAUGAAGGUAUAAAUUAAGGUGGUACCGUGUCUAAAAAGCACCCUUAGC
rnacentral:ncRNA from 1 species